CCUACGGGCGGCUGCAGUGAGGAAUAUUGGUCAAUGGGCGCGAGCCUGAACCAGCCAAGUAGCGUGAAGGAUGACUGCCCUACGGGUUGUAAACCUCUUUUAUAAAGGAAUAAAGUGUGGCACGCGUGCCUUUUCGCAUGUACUUUAUGAAUAAGGAUCGGCUAACUCCGUGCCAGCAGCCGCGGUAAUACGGAGGAUCCGAGCGUUAUCCGGAUUUAUUGGGUUUAAAGGGUGCGUAGAUGGGUUGUUAAGUCAGUUGUGAAAGUUUGCGGCUCAACCGUAAAAUUGCAAUUGAAACUGGCAGUCUUGAGUACAGUUGAGGUAGGCGGAAUUCGUGGUGUAGCGGUGAAAUGCUUAGAUAUCACGAAGAACUCCGAUUGCGAAGGCAGCUUACUAAGCUGCCACUGACAUUGAUGCUCGAAAGUGUGGGUAUCGAACAGGAUUAGAUACCCUAGUAGUC
rnacentral:rRNA from 1 species